UCCUCAAACUCGCAAAUCUCCUGUGUUUUUCAUUUUUGGGGUGUUUGUAAGACAACCGAAGCGGGCUUGUGUGUGUGUGUGUGUUCGUGCCCUUGAGGACGGAUUUCCCCUCCCAGGAUGCAUCAGCUGCUUGUGGUUACCUCAGUGCUGGUGGCGCUCUGCUCUCUAGGGAGUGUGGAUACUUCUGCCUACGAUAAGAUUGUCACCCACAGUCGCAUACGGGCCAGGAAAGAAGGACCCAAUGUGUGCGCCCUGCAACAGGUCCAGGGGUCUAAAAAGAAGUACUUCAGCACAUGCAGGAACUGGUACAAAGGCUCCAUCUGUGGCAAGAAGACCCUGGUUCUAUAUGAAUGCUGUCCUGGAUACAUUAAGCUGGAGGGUAUGAGAGGAUGCCCUGCUGUGGCUCCCAUUGACCAUGUCUACGGUACGCUGGGGCUCAUAAAGGCUACGACCACGCAGCAAUACUCUGACACGGCCAAGCUGAGGGAGGAAAUUGAAGGCCAAGGCUCUUUUACCAUGUUUGCACCUAGCAAUGAUGCCUGGGAUCUGGUGGACUCUACUGUGCGGUCUGCACUGGUAAGCAACGUGAACAUCGAGCUGUACAACGCGCUUCACUUCCAUAUGGUGAACCGCCGCAUUUUGACCAAAGACAUGAAGAACGACAUGACUUUCACUUCCAUGUACAACAACCUGGGGUUGUACGUCAACCACUACUCCAAUGGGAUUGUGACAGUGAACUGUGCCAGGAUCGUCCUUGGUAAUCAGGUGGCCACAAAUGGUGUGGUGCAUGUCAUUGACCGGGUCAUCAGCAGUGUUAGCAACAACAUCAAGGAAGUCCUGGACGUCACCGACGAUCUCUCCGCCUUCACGAAUGUAGUAAUGGCUUCUGGUAUGAUGGACAAGCUGGACCAGCCUGGCCACUACACCCUGUUUGCCCCCACUAAUGAAGCCUUUGACAAACUGAGCCCAGGCUACCUGGAGCGUAUCAUGGGAGACAAGGCUGUAAUUGCAGCCCUGGUGAACUACCACCUGCUGAGCAGUGUCCAGUGUUCAGAAGCCAUCAUGUCAGGGACCGCGUACGAGACCGCAGAGGGCAGCACCAUCGAGAUCGGCUGUGACGGCGACAGCUUGACGGUCAAUGGAAUCACGAUGGUGCUGAAGAAGGACGUCGUCACCACCAAUGGCGUCAUCCACUUCAUCGACCAGGUGCUCAUCCCUGACUCAGCCAAGGAAGGGAUGGAGCUGAUGGGAGACUCCCAGAGCACCUUCAGCAACAUGCUCUAUGAAAUGGGCUUUUCGGCUGCCCUGGGUCCGAAGACAGAGUACACACUCCUCGCUCCUCUCGACUCUGCCUUCACACAUGAAGUGACAGAUAAAAACGUGCUGAAAUUCCUUUUGCAAAACCACAUCUUGAAGAUGAAAGUUACUCUGAGCGAGCUCUACAAUGGACAGACGCUGGAAACCGUGGCUGGCAAACUGCUCCGAGUCUUCAUUUACCGCACUGCUGUGUGCAUAGAAAAUGCAUGUAUGGUGCGUGGCAGUAAAGAGGGAAGCAAUAGUGCGCUCCAUGUUAUGAGGACUCUCAUCAAACCGCCCGAGAAAACCAUCUAUGAGCUCCUGAUCGCUGACAGGCGGUUCAAGAUUUUUCUGUCGCUGAUUGAGACAGCAGGUCUGACCAAUCUGCUGAAGCAAGAAGGCUCCUACACCAUCUUUGCACCCACUGACGAUGCCUUUGAUAACCUCAGUAAAGAGGAACUUGCUCUGCUCAAAAGUGAUCUGAAUGCUCUGAGAACCAUUUUGCUGUACCACUUCAGUAACGGCAUCUUCAUCAACGGAGGAUUAGAGCGAGGAGUCACCAAUCUGCUCAAAACCUUCCAGGGCAAAAACCUGCAAGUGAUGUCUGUAAACAACUCCAUUCAUGUCAAUUCUGUGGACGUGCCAAACAGUGACCUGAUGGCAACAAACGGCGUCGUCCAUGUGGUGAAGAAUGUUCUCUAUCCCGCGGAUCUUCCCGUGGGCCGGCAGGACCUCCUGGUCCUCCUGAAGAAGCUGAUCAAGUACAUCCAUAUAACGUAUACUUCUGGAUUUACUUAUGAGGAGAUUCCCCUGACGUUCAUAAGGACAACCGUCACAACUACACACAUUAAAACAGAGCCUACUUUCACCAAGGUCACAAAAGUCUUCCAGACAGAUCCAGUGAUCACUGAGGUGGUUGUCAAGGGAGAACCAGCGAUCACCAAGGUAACCAGGGUCAUUGAGGGGGACCCUUCCUUUGCAAAGGUCACCAGAGUCAUUGCAGGAGAACCCUCCGUGACUAAGGUUACAAGAGUUAUUGAGGGUAAGUUCCUGAACGCUUAAGAAAAUUGAUUGCAGGCGCGGACUUCUCUAAGAUCACCACCAUCCACGGCAACCCAAAUCGAGUCGAUGAGGAAUCGGAGAGAAUAACCAAACUCAUUCGAGACGGAGGCGGGUUCGCUGCUGCCAGGAAAGCUGCAGUUGGAAUGAGAAAGAGGAGAAAACAGCUGGUCAGGCGUCACCCUAAACCAAGGGAGUGAAUCGAAAAGAGAGAAAACACCUUUGGGCACGGAGACUGAAAGCAUCUUGAGGUGCUCCUGGUUGAGUGCUUGUGAAACUGUGGACCGAUAGGGAGAGAUGUAACCAGUUUAGCUAUUUCCGUUUCCAAACCACCUGUAAGAAUGAUUGUUUACUAUUUUAUCUGGUCCAUAAUGCGUGUGAUAACCAUGACGUGUAUAAGCAAUGCAAUGGAAACAGAAUACCUUAUAAGUCUUGUGAAUGUGCAAGGGAAAUAUGGAAUGUUUCCUUGAUGGUGUUUAAUUGAGAUAUCUCCGCCAAAGUUUCACUUUGUAAACGAUUGGCUUGGGAAGAUUUUGGGAUGUUUUUUAUGGUGCUUGUAUCCUUUACAGUGUCUUUUCAUGCAUAUGACAAAUGUAAACAGCGCUUUUAACAGAUGCUGUUCUGAACCUCUGUAAAUUAUCCCAUUGAGAUUAGAGAAAAUACAAUUAAACUGCAUCUAUUUUUCAGUGAUUCUUUCAAA